rnacentral:misc_RNA from 1 species
GAUGAAGAACGUAGCGAAAUGCGAUAAGUAAUGUGAAUUGCAGAAUUCAGUGAAUCAUCGAAUCUUUGAACGCACAUUGCGCCCUCUGGUAUUCCGGGGGGCAUGCCUGUUCGAGCGUCAUUACAACCCUCAAGCUCUGCUUGGUAUUGGGCUCUGCCGGUCCUGGCAGGCCUCAAAGUCAGUGGCGGUGCCAUCCGGCUCCAAGCGUAGUAAUUCUCCUCGCUUCGGAGGCCGCGGUGCGUGCUAGCCAGCAACCCCCAAUUUUUUUCAGGUUGACCUCGGAUCAGGUAGGGAUACCCGCUGAACUUAAGCAUAUCAAUAAGCGGAGGA